rnacentral:tRNA from 1 species
GCCCAGAUGGCGGAAUUGGUAGACGCGCCGCUUUGAGGGGGCGGUGGCCGAAAGGCCGUAGGAGUUCGAGUCUCCUUCUGGGCACUA